ACCUAAAAUGCUUCCUUUCUCAUAGAUCCACUGUGUGAAUCUACUUCCCUUAAUUUCGCACAGGAAAACGUGCAAGAUGAAGAUUUAGAAGCUUGAACUCAAACAUGCACUACUCUCAUUUUCACAUAGGUUUUGGUACUCUCCCAUCACAAAUGCUUGAUAUACUUCACAUCUCGUCUUUCUUCAUAAAAUGCAGAUGAAUUGGACUUCUCAAUGUCAUAAACUGUUUCAGGAGAAUCAUGCUAAGUGAUUUUAGACUGUGAAUCUAUUUUGCUUAAAUUCAGAGAAGGCAAUGUUGAAGAGAAAGCUAAGUAUGAUUCGACUCGAACAUUAUUGUUCCUUUCAUAGAGGUUUGGUGCUUUUCGUUCUCAAAUCACAAAUGGACAUGCAAAUGAAUUUGACGGUUUAAAUGUUAAAGACUAAGGUAUAUUCAAUUAUCUCCGUGUGUUUUAUAUUAGGUUAAAGUUAAACGUCUUAUGUGACUUGCACAUUUCUUCUAUGAUAUGAUUUAUUUUGAUUCUUGAUAAAGGACGCAAUGAGGCAAUGAUGUUGUUUUCAGCUUUUAUAUUAUAGAUCAAACAGGUGGAUGAAGAGCCUUAGUACUGGCAAGGUGUUGUAGUAUCUGUUUGAAAAUACCCUUUGGUGGUUUACUCUACAGAUACUUAUUAUGCAGCUAUGUUAAGGCUCUUUUUUUUUUCUUUCUUGUUUGAGAAAAAGGUGAAUCUGAGCCUUUCUAUGAAACCCUGAAUUUAGGGUUUUUGACUUGCUAGUUGUUAGUUUAAGUAUGAGGCUCCACACUCAGAGAGAUAGGGUUGUUUUGAGAGUUGUUGCCCCUUUGUGUUGUUGUGAUAGCCGAUGAUCCAUCUCAAUGAAGUUUCUAAACAACUCUCAUUUCAUAUAUACUUCCUUCCUCUGUUCUUCCAUGAGAUUGUUUUUCUUCUUCUUUUUCUUCUUCUUUUUCUUCUUUGAUAACAAGGCAAUGUUUGCUGUCUUUUUCUUCUUAUAUAAUAAGGCAGUGAUAAUGUUUCAGCAAUUGAAGCAGACAUCGGGUAAAGAGAUGUUUCAGGUGAGGUGAUUCUGUGCCCGUGCGAAAACACACUUGUUGUACUUUGCACAGGCGCUGUUAUUGACGCAGCCCUUGGGAACCUCUUAAUUCUUCUGUCUGAGAAAAAGGCGAAUCUGAGCCUUCUUUUUUCUUCAGCCCCAUCUCAAAUUCUGUUUGGGGUCCCUCUAUUGUCCUCCCCUUUUUUGUGUUUGGUUUAAUUUUGUUUGUUUUCUACCAAGUAAAAAAUUUAACGAUGGAAGCAUUAGAGUAGUGAGAAGUAUUUCUCACACAACUAAUUUUUUUCAAUGCAACCAAUAUAAUUUUUUAUCAUUAUGUGUGAUUUUAGACUAAAAGACAAAAUUUGCAUUAUUUAUUUAUUCAACAGUCACUCCUAUGUUUUCUAGUAUGCUUAUAUUUUAUUGACAGUAAUUAUGAUUAUUAAAAAGACUAAUUAGAUGAAGUGUUUUCCUGAUAUUACUUACUGUGAGACUUUAUUUUGAUUUUCUAUGUCUCUUUCAUUUACGACACUUGUCCCUUUGAGGAUUGCAAUCUAUGUAAUUUUUCCAUCCUAGAAUUUCUAAGCAAGAAUUAAACCACAUAUAACAUAAGAGAUUAGUGUGCAUUGCUCAUCAAAUUAUAUCAAGUUAACUUUUUUUUUUGUCAAACACAAUAUUCCUUCUUUAAAAAAUACACUAAAGUCAGUACACUUCACUAAAGCUGAAGCAAGGUUAGCAAACUAUAGAAUCAAUGACAUGGUUCAGAAACAUCAAUGUUGGGUGAACAAGAAACACUAUUGUGAAAGUAGCCUAAAAGAUUGUUAGGAUUCUCAAGGCAUGCCGGUGUUGCUGAGCUCUCCAUCUUAUGUAUAUGAAUGGACAUGACAUGAUAACUUUGUCUGACUACUAUUAUGGUUGCAACAGGGAAAGGAUCAUUGAAAUAACAAAGGCUCUCAACCUAGUGAAACAAAUUGUACUAUGACCUAUAUAUGUACACCAUGCAAAGUCCCUAAUUUCUAAUGCUGCACACAUGGCAGCAGUACACCAUGCAACAUCCCUAAUUUCUAAUGCUGCACAGAUGGAAGCAGUAUGCCAUUCUUAAUUCCUAAUGCUGUACAGACUCAUGGAAGCAGUACACCAUUCUAAAUUCCUAAUGCUGUACAUCAUUUGAAGUCUUUUUGGAGUCAUGUUUUCAUUUGAAGCGAUUUUGUUUAUUGAUUCAUACUUGGAUUGAUUUAGCUAUGCCUGUACAUGGUGGAAAGAUAAAUACUAAGAAGGAAUAGGCACUUAACUCUUGAGAAAAUUAUAACAUAACAAGCCAUGAUUAUCAAUCAGUAUUUAUUUAUUUAUAUUUAAAUAUUUAAAAGAGGGCUUGGAACUCUUCUAUCCCAAAUGGUUAGUAGUUUAUUUCUUCUCUUUUCAUUUUGCGGUGUUUUGUUUUACUAAGUGCAUUUUUCUUUGAUCUAAAUGCAGAUGAAUUGGAGGUUUUUGAUGUUUAAAUAGUUUCAGGCGAAGCAUGCCACACCUGUUCUGAUUACACUUCUGAGAAUGUUCCUUUGAGGAUUGAGGCCUUCACACCUUACCAAAACUUUAAGAAAUAAAUUUGAAAAAACAAGUAAAUGACUCGUGGAGCAUACAACUUAGCUAUUUGAUUUUAUAGCAAAAGAGAAAAUGGCUCAUUGAAGACUCUAUACAUACAUACAUGGAAGUCAAUUUAAUGAUUUAAAUGACAUGGAUUGUUAAACUAUAUCUUUGAGAUAUGUUCAAAUAUUGGAGGAACUGCCUCCCAUUUAAAGCUGAAAUGGAUCUAGAUUCUUCUGUUCUAUGCCACCAAUUUAUUGGUCUAAUAUGUAGUAUUUCUGUUAAGUGUUUGGCAACCCCAUUUAUAUGUGACAUUGAAUACAAGGUUCUAGUUUCACUUUCAGCCUCAAAUGGGAGGCAGUUUCUCCAAAAAAUUGAACCAUAUUUAACACCAGAAAUUAUAUAAAGUUAACUUUAUUUUUGGUCGAAUGCAAAUUCUUCAUGGAAAAACACACGAAUGGGUACGCUUCAGGAAAGCUGAAGCAAGGUUAGCAAAUGAUAGGAUUCAUGAAGUUCAGUAGCUUCAGUACUGGGUGAACUAGAGACUCCAUUAUGUUUCCUAGGUUUAGUUAUUGACCUAGAAGAUUAUUAGGCUUCCAAAGGUGAGGGAACGAUGUUGAGCACUCCAUGUUGUAUUUAUGAAUGGAUAUAGCUUUCUCAGGUUGCUGUAAAGGUUGCAGGGAAGAAUUCAUUGAAAGAACAAAAAAUGACAUCGGCAGCUUUGACUCUCAACUUGGUAAAACAAAUUGUACUGUACUUAAAAUUACAAUAUCCUGCUUUUUUUGAAACUCUGUAUGCAUACCAAUUCUACUUCUGCACACAUGAUUGUAUCUGAUAUGAACUAUAGUCUGGACCCAAUUUCCUCACACUACUUGGUUUCAUGCUAAAUGCUGUCUAAGAAUUCUAAUGUUAGAAUUUAUUCUACUCAAACAAUUGAGUUAUUCUUGAAAUGAAUACUCUGAGUAGUAAAGGGCACUUCCUGACAAAACUUUACACUGCUACUCUUAGAUAUCAAGUAGUGUUUUGCAAUUGGACACCUCCGUAAUCCUUCCCAAAUCUACUUUGUGAUGUUUUGCAAUUGUGUACCAAAACUGAAACCGGCUUAUCCACAUUAAUUCAAUAGGUAUAGAAGGAGCAACUUAAAAUUUUCACAAGUCAUCCAAGCCCAAUACUCAAAGCAACCCAAAAUGCUUCAUUUCACUCGAGGCCUACCUUUCCCCAUUCAAAGCAAAUGCCACAAUCUAUUUUGCGUAAAUUGCAAGAGAGGAGUGCCGUAGAGGAAGUGGUGGAUGGUUGAGCCUGAAUAUUACUGUCCCUGUCAUAGCAAGACUGUUGUUUUUAAAGAUAUACUUAUAGAUAAAACUUGAGGAUCUGGUACUCCCCUUAUCUAAUAUCUACAAUGAUUAGUUUUUUAUAACUUAUGUAUUUUUUUUCAUUUUGUGGUGGUUUGCAACUGUUUGGCCAAGUGCUGGUUUCAUAUAAUGCGCUUCAUAUGUUCUAUAUAAUAGCUUAUCACCAUCAAAUUUUGCUUUAGCACUUUUUAAACUUCUAGGUGGUGUUGACAUUUUAUCUGUGAUUUGGUUUGUUUCGGUUAGAAUGCAAGAUUUAAACAUAAUAUAGAAUACUCAAUGAAGCUGUGAUGUUUUUCAGCUUUUAGAACAGAGAAGAGGUUGAAGAGCCUUGGUACUGGCAAGGUGUUUCAGAAUAUCUGUUUGAAAUCACUAUUGCUGUGGUUUCUUCUACAGACAUGUUAACGCAGCCAUGGUGAGGCUUUUCUCUUCUGCCUCUUGUUUGAGAAAAGGUGAAUCUGAGCCUUCCUAUGAAAACCUGCAGUUUAUACUCAGUUAAGUAUGAGGCUCACACUCAGAGAGUUAAGGGUGUCUUGAGAGCCGUUGCCCCUCUGAGUUUUCAUGCAAGCCAAUGAUCCUUAGUGAAAUUUUGCAAACAGCUCUCCACACACAAACACACUCACUCACAUUAUUGCCUGAUCAUAAUCAUCUGCUUCUGUUUCUGUUUUCUCCACAGCUUUUGUUUCUUCUUCUUCUUGGAUAACUAGGCAGUGAUGAUGCUUUUAGCAAUUUAAUUAGAUAUUGAGUGAAGAGUUGUUUCCUGGCAAGGUGACUCUGUCUGUGUGAAAUUGCUCUUGUGGAUAUUUGCACAGUUGAUGUUGGCAGCCUUUGCAAACCUCUUCUCUCUUGUAUCUGAAAAAAGGCGAAUCUGAGCCUCUUUUGUUUUAAACCCUAACUUAAAUUGUUCUGAGACUUUGUUUCCUCUUUUUCUUUCUAUUUAUUGAAUUUUAUUUAUUUAUAAUCAUGAAGUUUCUCAAUGCAAACCCGGACAUUAAUUUUCUGUUUACUUUUUGAUUGCCACUGAAAGAUAAUAUUGACACAUUACUCCUCCUUAUUCAACUCUA